rnacentral:rRNA from 1 species
UACGAAGGGUGCUAGCGUUGUUCGGAAUCACUGGGCGUAAAGCGUACGUAGGCGGAUUGUUAAGUCAGGGGUGAAAUCCCGAGGCUCAACCUCGGAACUGCCUUUGAUACUGGCUGUCUUGAGUCCGGGAGAGGUGAGUGGAACUCCUAGUGUAGAGGUGAAAUUCGUAGAUAUUAGGAAGAACACCAGUGGCGAAGGCGGCUCACUGGCCCGGAACUGACGCUGAUGUACGAAAGCGUGGGGAGCAAACAGG